UACGGAGGGUGCAAGCGUUAUCCGGAUUCACUGGGUUUAAAGGGUGUGUAGGCGGGCAUUUAAGUCAGUGGUGAAAUCUCCGAGCUCAACUCGGAAACUGCCAUUGAUACUAUUUGUCUUGAAUAUCGUUGAGGUUGGCGGAAUAUAUCAUGUAGCGGUGAAAUGCUUAGAUAUGAUAUAGAACACCGAUUGCGAAGGCAGCUAACUAAGCGAUGAUUGACGCUGAGGCACGAAAGCGUGGGGAUCAAACAGG
rnacentral:rRNA from 1 species